GGAGCGAAGGCAGGAUGAGGGCAAGCUGAUUGAUCAAAGCUAAAAUCUGAAAGCAAAGACAUCUAGCAUACUGUACAGCAGCUGCCGGCAACUCCAGUCUCUGAAGGCUGUGUGGUCUUCUGCAUUUCAUUCCACCUCAGGUCUCAGAAGUUUCGGCAUCAGACGUGCUCCCCGAACUCCCUUGCACAGCCUAUCAGAUGGAAAACUGAAAAGACUGAUGACUGCCUCUCCCAAAAGGCUCCUAUUGGUGGUGGGAAGAAACAAGCCCGGCCGAUUGGAUAGCGUUUCUGCGCCAUACCUGCAUUUUCCGUGGGAUUAAUUAAAAAGGAGAACAGCGUAGAGCAGUGGGCAGCAGUCCGGAUUUCAAACUGGAAGGCUGUGGGUUCAGAUCCCAGGUGUGAUCUCUGGCCCUCCCACUUAGACAAGGCCUGCUGGCUGCAGAGUGAGACAUGCACUGCCUAGAAAAAAACAGGAGGAGGUGGGAAGCACACUUAGCAGACAAGAUUUGUAGAAACAAGAAGAAUUACCUUUCAAAAUGACUCAGUGACCAGAGACAUUUACAAUAAUAUUCGUCUGCCAUUGCUCUUAGUAGAGCUGGUAGUUCUAAGAAGACUUCCCCUCUUGUGGAUGUAGAUUAACGCAAGGGCAAGUGAUUAUAGCUGCUGAGGUCAGCAACUAACACGUUUUUAACCACUUUAUUGCAUCAGUAGGUGACAAUGUGACUCUACAACAAUGUCAAUGAUGUUAAUAGAACACCGGUUUGUUUCCUGUAAAUCACCUGAUUUCACUCUCCAAUGUUUGGAAAGUCUACAGGUGAUCACCAAUAAAAGGAGGUGAUCCUUGGAUGCUCAGUGUAAACGAAGUACUGUUGACAGUGAUACUUGUUAUAGACCUCUGCUGUGUUAAUUUUGGUAUUUAAAAUUAAGGGCAAUAGCACAGAGUAGUGGUUAAAAGGGUUGAAUUUUGUGUAGGAUACUGCUGUUGUGUCUUUCAGUAAAACCUGAUGCAAAAGCAGAUACUCUCUAAGAAUGACUUUUUAACCUUUUCUACACC